rnacentral:rRNA from 1 species
AGGACGAACGCUGGCGGCGUGCUUAACACAUGCAAGUCGAGCGGAAAGGCCCUUCGGGGUACUCGAGCGGCGAACGGGUGAGUAACACGUGAGUAAUCUGCCCCUAGCUCUGGGAUAGCUCCGGGAAACCGGGAUUAAUACUGGAUACGACCACCUUAGACAUCUUUUGUGGUGGAAAGAAUUUCGGCUAGGGAUGAGCUCGCGGCCUAUCAGCUUGUUGGUGGGGUAACGGCCUACCAAGGCGACGACGGGUAGCCGGCCUGAGAGGGCGACCGGCCACACUGGGACUGAGACACGGCCCAGACUCCUACGGGAGGCAGCAGUGGGGAAUAUUGCGCAAUGGGCGAAAGCCUGACGCAGCGACGCCGCGUGGGGAUGAAGGCCUUCGGGUUGUAAACCCCUUCAGCAGGGACGAAGCGAAGUGACGGUACCUGCAGAAGAAGCGCCGGCUAACUACGUGCCAGCAGCCGC